GAUGAUUACAUUCCGGCUUUGGAUUCCAACGCCCAGCUCUACGCUAAUCAAUUAUAUUUUGUUCUUCCAAGAUCUAAACUUCAAAACAGGUUAAGCGCUUCUGACAUGGCAGCUUUGGCCGUCAAAGCUAGCGUAGCCAUCCAAAAUGCCUCCAAGAAAGGCGGUCAUCGGCGUAAGAAGGGCAGGAUUUCUCCUGUUUCGUUAGGGAAUCUGUCCCCCUCUGAUGAUGCCGAUGUUAUUAAGUCGUUUGAGAAGCCACGGGCACAGCAG
rnacentral:misc_RNA from 1 species